rnacentral:lncRNA from 1 species
UGGUGGUGCUGGUGUUGCCUUUGGUCCCAUUUAGCGUUUAUAAAGUAGUGCCAAGCAAGGACAGCAUAAAUUGGCAAACAGAGGAGAAUGGAGUAAAGAGGAGCCCUUUUAGGAAAAAUUGAGUGGCAUUCCAUCCAAUAGGCAAGUUUGCACUUCUCCUCUUUGGGACGUGCCCAGGAACACGAUGGCAAGAGCAAUGGCUCCUCUGUGGCCCUUCAUCCCAGUGGCUGCCUCAGGUGAGUCCUCUUAUGAUCUCACUAGACAUUGAAUAUUAACUCACAAACUAGAGUAGCUCCUCACAAGUGCUCAUUUUUAUUCAUCAUCUGUAAAUACCAGUCCCAUGAAGCUACAUGGAAACCAGUGGCUUGUUUUGACUCGGCUCCUACAAUCACAGGUACCUGGAGAGGAUAAUACAGAAAUAAAGAAAGAAUUCUGUCUCCAAGAUGCGUGAUUGCUGUAAAAAUGGAAUUACAGUGAUAGUUGUAAAGAAUCGUAGCCAUAGAUACACCUCAUCCCAGGAAUUCUGCUCUCGAUCAUCUCCUCAAGAAACUAUUACAGAAAUAUCACAAGGAAGUGAGGUGCUUAAUACUACGAUGAAACUGAACCCCUUGUUGUCUCCUGCCUGUAUUCCAUCCAUUCUGCUGUUUCCUCCACUGACUGUCUUCCUCCUCGUUCUCCAUCUGCAAGAUAGUAUAGUUCUUCAAAUCUCAGCUCCUGGAAGAAAUUUCCCUCGAUUCUCCCAGCUGACAGUGGUCUCCUUCCUUUAAACACAC